AUGUUCGGAUUACACGACAGUUUUGCUGUAGCUCCAGAACAAAUAUAUAUACAUGUGUGCAUAUAUCUUGAUGAAGAGUUCCCGCUUCGCUAUUUCAUUUAUAUGCUCCACACUCAGGAAGAGUCACCACUUCACAUAUGAUGGCCAUGAAGACGAGAGUGAACUACUCUCCCACAGAUAGUAAGUAGCCAUUAGGGUUGGAACUUAGCUCUAAAUCCCUGGAUUCUUAUUCCAGCAAAGGCUACCUUAAGAUUGUUUACACCAGCCUUCUGACUUACAGCCUAAAGAAUCAUCAAAACCUUUGUGUAAUCAAAAUUGAAUUCAUGAGUAUUCUCUAAUAUACAUAGAUAUUAUAUACAAUGUAUAUAUAUAUUAUGUAGCACCAAAGCCUUUAUCAUCCAAGAACAUGUCAUAAUUAUUUUCUUGAAAAUGUAAGACAAAAAUUUUUAAGAGGCAAUUUAGCCAUUUUGGUGUCUUACCUUUGGAAUAAAAUAUGAUUUGAUAGAUCCUCAAUUUCUAGCUAAUUUGUCUUUUCCUACCACCAGCACGUGGAAGAGGCUCAAAACACUGCAGUUCCGGGAAGAAAAUGUUUGUCUUUCUCCAUAGCACUUCCUUUUGAGGGAGUUGUUUAUUUAGUAAUCAGAAUCAGACUCUUUUUUGCAGGGUUGGCAAGUGGCUACCAGUUUAGAGUCUGUUCUGAUUUGAUUAAUUGGACCACAAAGAAGACACUGGAGCCGAACUGAGUAGAAAUUUCCUUU
rnacentral:lncRNA from 1 species